rnacentral:lncRNA from 1 species
CCUCUCGCCAUGGGGUGGACUCUGUGUUGGUCCCGUAGCCUUUCCUAAAAGACUACCCUUCAAGCCAGGUUCACAAGUGGCUGGCCAGGAUCCUGUUUGGGAGCCAGAAACGUACCCCCAAGGGGUGCUGAGUUCCAGUUUGGCCUCAAGGGGAAGCCUAGUCCACUGGGGCCUUUCUGGCUUUGGGGACAACCAGCCCCCUAGGGUUAGGUGUCCGCAGUCCACGGGGGCUUGUGAGGACAUAAGCUGGGUGAGGGGGCUCGACUCUGAAACUUGGCCAGAACCUUCCCGUAAACUCUGGCCCCACUUCUAACUGCUCUAUAAACACAUAUACAUAUAUUUACAUAUAUAUACAGAGUGACUGACUGGCAUCCGCUUGAGCCUGAGACUUGCCAUAAAAAACUGCUGAGCCCUCGGCGCGCACGCUCAGCUUCGUCCUCCAUCUGUUCGGGGUAGGUGUCGAGCAAACGUGUCUAGAUAUUUCAGAUGGGUUUCUGAUGCACUGUUGCCAAGGAAGGCUUUUUUUUUUUUCCUGAUUUUUUGACAAACGAAUUUUUUGCACACUUUAAAUUGGUGACUUUUGGCAACUUUCAAACACACUGAAAACUAGCUGCUGUACAUAUUUUUAUACCCUCUUUAUAAGCGCAUGUCUGACUGUACUCGUGACCACGUCGUGACGCGGGGCCGUCCAGUCGGCCUGGCUCGGCUCGGGCCGUCGGAGAAGCGGUGUGACUAGCGGCCCCUCAGCAGUCCCGGGAACUUCCUCCUGAACAAAGAGUGAAUUUGGUCAAGGCUGCUCCUGGUUCAUUCAGCCGUUUUCAGCAUUUGAAGUAACUACUGUAUAUCCUAAAUACACCCAUCCUUUUGGCAGUGACUGGAUUUCCACGAAUGUGUCUUACUAUAUCCUUCAGCUGGCAGUUACUCUUAGCUCUUACUGACCCCUUGAAGCUGUUCUGCAGGAGACAGAAGCUCUUUGCAGUCUGUAUCCCUCGGAGGAAGAAGGUAGUGGUGUGGGUGGAGUGUGUGUUCUUUCUCCAGAUUUAUUAUAAUGUUUUAAACACGUCUGUAGCCAAGAUGGUGGGGGUCCUCUUGUUACGGAAGUCACCCUUCACCGUGGCGAUUUGUGAAGGAGAUGCACUUGAACGUUGCUGUAAAUCUUGAGAUAAACUGUUUGGAGAUUUAACCACCUCUGAUGGGGGACCAACUCUAUGGAAAUUGUAAAUAAGUUUUAUUUAUAAACCUGG